rnacentral:rRNA from 1 species
GACGAACGCUGGCGGCGUGCCUAAUACAUGCAAGUAGAACGCUGAAGGAGGAGCUUGCUCUUCUGGAUGAGUUGCGAACGGGUGAGUAACGCGUAGGUAACCUGCCUGGUAGCGGGGGAUAACUAUUGGAAACGAUAGCUAAUACCGCAUAACAGUAGAUGUUGCAUGACAUUUACUUAAAAGGUGCAAUUGCAUCACUACCAGAUGGACCUGCGUUGUAUUAGCUAGUUGGUGGGGUAACGGCCCACCAAGGCGACGAUACAUAGCCGACCUGAGAGGGGGAUCGGCCACACUGGGACUGAGACACGGCCCAGACUCCUACGGGAGGCAGCAGUAGGGAAUCUUCGGCAAUGGACGGAAGUCUGACCGAGCAACGCCGCGUGAGUGAAGAAGGUUUUCGGAUCGUAAAGCUCUGUUGUAAGAGAAGAACGAGUGUGAGAGUGGAAAGUUCACACUGUGACGGUAUCUUACCAGAAAGGGACGGCUAACUACGUG